rnacentral:rRNA from 1 species
CCUACGGGUGGCAGCAGUGGGGAAUAUUGGACAAUGGGCGAAAGCCUGAUCCAGCCAUGCCGCGUGUGUGAAGAAGGCCUUCGGGUUGUAAAGCACUUUCAGUGGGGAAGAAAGCCUUGGGGCUAAUACCCUCGAGGAAGGACAUCACCCACAGAAGAAGCACCGGCUAACUCCGGUGCCAGCAGCCGCGGUAAUACGGAGGGUGCGAGCGUUAAUCGGAAUUACUGGGCGUAAAGCGCGCGUAGGCGGUCUGAUAAGCCGGUUGUGAAAGCCCCGGGCUCAACCUGGGAACGGCAUCCGGAACUGUCAGGCUAGAGUGCAGGAGAGGAAGGUAGAAUUCCCGGUGUAGCGGUGAAAUGCGUAGAGAUCGGGAGGAAUACCAGUGGCGAAGGCGGCCUUCUGGACUGACACUGACGCUGAGGUGCGAAAGCGUGGGUAGCAAACAGGAUUAGAUACCCCAGUAGUC